UUACGGCCACAUCAUGUUGAAACACCGGUUCCCGUACGAUUACCGAAGCAACGUUUAGCCUGGUCAGUACCUGGAUGGGUGACCUCUUGGGAAUACCAGGUACUGUAA